GAUGAACGCUGGCGGCGUGCCUAAUACAUGCAAGUCGAGCGAACGGACGAGAAGCUUGCUUCUCUGAUGUUAGCGGCGGACGGGUGAGUAACACGUGGAUAACCUCCCUAUAAGACUGGGAUAACUUCGGGAAACCGGAGCUAAUACCGGAUAAUAUUUUGAACCGCAUGGUUCAAAACGGAAAUACGGUCUUGCUGUCACUUAUAGAUUGAUCCGCGCUUCAUUAGCUAGUUGGUAAGGUAACGGCUUACCAAGGCAACGAUGCAUAGCCGACCUGAGAGGAUGAUCGGCCACACUGGAACUGAGACACGGUCCAGACUCCUACGGGAGGCAGCAGUAGGGAAUCUUCGGCAAUGGGCGAAAGCCUGACGGAGCAACGCCGCGUGAGUGAUGAAGGUCUUCGGAUCGUAAAACUCUGUUAUUAGGGAAGAACAUAUGUGUAAGUAACUGUGCACAUCUUGACGGUACCUAAUCAGAAAGCCACGGCUAACUACGUG
rnacentral:rRNA from 1 species